CCCCUCACCUCCUACCCCGCAUCCCAAACCUUAACACGAUAGCCACACCAACUGCCACCGGCACCGAGCUCUCGACACCACACAUCGCGGAUCUGAAGCAGAGAGAAGAAGCCAUCUGAGCCCAGAAAGCUGGAGACAUCUCAGCAGCAGCCAGAGCAGACUCGAUGCCACUCAGGGGGUGCCAUCACCCCGCUCACAGCCCCGUUUUUUGUAGGUUAAAGAGGAGCCGGGAGGCCACAGCA